rnacentral:rRNA from 1 species
GAUGAACGCUGGCGGCGUGCCUAAUACAUGCAAGUAGAACGCUGAAGGAAGGAGCUUGCUCUUUCCGGAUGAGUUGCGAACGGGUGAGUAACGCGUAGGUAACCUGCCUGGUAGCGGGGGAUAACUAUUGGAAACGAUAGCUAAUACCGCAUAACAGUAGAUGUUGCAUGUUAUCUACUUAAAAGGUGCAAUUGCACCACUACCAGAUGGACCUGCGUUGUAUUAGCUAGUUGGUGAGGUAACGGCUCACCAAGGCGACGAUACAUAGCCGACCUGAGAGGGUGAUCGGCCACACUGGGACUGAGACACGGCCCAGACUCCUACGGGAGGCAGCAGUAGGGAAUCUUCGGCAAUGGACGGAAGUCUGACCGAGCAACGCCGCGUGAGUGAAGAAGGUUUUCGGAUCGUAAAGCUCUGUUGUAAGAGAAGAACGAGUGUGAGAGUGGAAAGUUCACACUGUGACGGUAUCUUACCAGAAAGAGACGGCUAACUACGUG